rnacentral:rRNA from 1 species
AUUCCAGCUCUAAUAGCGUAUAUUAAAAUUGUUGCAGUUAAAACGCUCGUAGUUGAAUAUCUGUCUCCUGAUUGUUUGGUCCGCUUUGCGUGCACCUUACGUCAGAGGCAUCCGUUUGCAUUUUUGAUUUCAAAUUUGCAAACCGUUCACUUUGAGGAAAUUAGAGUGUUCAAAGCAAGUAUUGGCUUGAAUACUUCAGCAUGGAAUGAUCGAUAGGACUUUCGUCCUUUCCUUGGUUCUAGGGACGUGAAGUAAUGAUAAACAGGGUCGGUCGGGGGCAUUCGUAUUGAACAGUCAGAGGUGAAAUUCUUAGAUUUGUUCAAGACGAACAACUGCGAAAGCAUUUGCCAAGGACGAUCUCAUCG